rnacentral:rRNA from 1 species
ACACAUGCAAGUCGAACGGAGCUGUUUUCUCUGAAGUUUUCGGAUGGAAGAGAGUUCAGCUUAGUGGCGAACGGGUGAGUAACACGUGAGCAACCUGCCUUUCAGUGGGGGACAACAUUUGGAAACGAAUGCUAAUACCGCAUAAGACCACAGUGUCGCAUGGCACAGGGGUCAAAGGAUUUAUCCGCUGAAAGAUGGGCUCGCGUCCGAUUAGCUAGAUGGUGAGGUAACGGCCCACCAUGGCGACGAUCGGUAGCCGGACUGAGAGGUUGAACGGCCACAUUGGGACUGAGACACGGCCCAGACUCCUACGGGAGGCAGCAGUGGGGAAUAUUGCACAAUGGGGGAAACCCUGAUGCAGCGACGCCGCGUGGAGGAAGAAGGUCUUCGGAUUGUAAACUCCUGUCCCAGGGGACGAUAAUGACGGUACCCUGGGAGGAAGCACCGGCUAACUACGUGCCAGCAGCCGCGGUAAAACGUAGGGUGCAAGCGUUGUCCGGAAUUACUGGGUGUAAAGGGAGCGCAGGCGGAUUGGCAAGUUGGGAGUGAAAUCUAUGGGCUCAACCCAUAAAUUGCUUUCAAAACUGUCAGUCUUGAGUGGUGUAGAGGUAGGCGGAAUUCCCGGUGUAGCGGUGGAAUGCGUAGAUAUCGGGAGGAACACCAGUGGCGAAGGCGGCCUACUGGGCACUAACUGACGCUGAGGCUCGAAAGCAUGGGUAGCAAACAGGAUUAGAUACCCUGGUAGUCCAUGCCGUAAACGAUGAUUACUAGGUGUGGGAGGAUUGACCCCUUCCGUGCCGCAGUUAACACAAUAAGUAAUCCACCUGGGG